UGCGUAGGCGGUUGUUUAAGUUAGAUGUGAAAUCCCCGGGCUUAACCUGGGAAUUGCAUUUAAGACUGGAUGGCUAGAGUAGAGUAGAGGGAAGUGGAAUUUCCGGUGUAGCGGUGAAAUGCGUAGAUAUCGGAAAGAACAUCAGUGGCGAAGGCGGCUUCCUGGACUCAUACUGACGCUGAGGCACGAAAGCAUGGGGAGCAAACAGGAUUAGAUACCCUGGUAGUCCAUGCCGUAAACGAUGAUAACUAGAUGCUGGUAGGUUAAACUUAUCAGUAUCGAAGCAAACGCGAUAAGUUAUCCGCCUGGGGAGUACGGCCGCAAGGCUAAA
rnacentral:rRNA from 1 species